GACACAUAAAUAUGAUCUCAAUGAGCAAUGGAUGUUGGCGACAGUUGGUCCACUAUAGGAGUUAGAUGUCCAUCAAGAUGGGAUUUAUCGACCUUGAUAGAGAGGAGUAGUCCUAUAGAAUUUAAGAGGCAAAGUCUCAGAAUCUGUGACCACGGCAGUGUGAUUGAUGGAAAAGAGUUUUUAUAAGAAUUAUAAUUGGACUUGAGC
rnacentral:lncRNA from 1 species